rnacentral:lncRNA from 1 species
CUUUGUACCCAAUUUUGCCAUAAACAAGACCUCUCGUAACAAUGAAGCAUGUGUUGAAAUAUAAAUUUUAACAUUCAGAAGAUAACAAAGCUAAAUACAGAUAUUCCCUAUAGCUUAAUAAGAAUUUAUGACUAUUAAUUUCCCCCUGUGCUUAAUUAGCAUAAUUAACAAAUGCACACAAGAAUUUUUUUAUCGUUGGUUAAUAUUUCUUAGCAAAUAAUGAUACAAUGUUAGAAUAAAAGUAGUAAUUUCAAGAUCAGUAUUGGUAAAGAUAAUAUAAUCACAGUUUAUUACCCGCUGAAUCCUACGCAAAAACGAAAAAUUCACAAAUUUCUUCGACGUCUAGGGUUUUAGGAGUCAGCGUGAGUCUUUUUUAACAACUGAACUGAAUUUUUCUCAUAAAACUCUCAUCGUCAUGACUGCACAAUCGCAAGAAGAGAUCUUAGCCGCUCAUCUCGAACAACGGAAGAUUAUCGAUCCUGAGCAAAAUUUAGCUAUUUAGGUAUAUUAAUAUCAAACCAAAAGAAAAAAAUUAAAAAGACGAAGCAGGAAGUGAGAAAAUAGCAGCGAAUCAGCGAAACAAAAGAAAGAGAACACCCUACCAGUCAGCCCAGGAGACAAUAAUGGUAUUGCUUCAGUAACAGAAGCAACGUGAAGCUGAGUUUUGUGAAACCAUGGGGAAGGAAGAUGAAUUGGGGAU